AUGCACGAGUGUCAGGGAACUAUGCAGCCUAUGCUAGCCCUUGGUCUGCUCCUGCUGCUGAGCCUCGACGGAGGUGUGGCCGUGGCGGCGGAAGACGGCCAGUUCGCCUACCAAGGCUUCGCCGCCGCGAACCUCACCCUGGACGGCGUCGCCGCUGUCACGCCCAACGGCCUCCUGCUGCUCACCGACACGGAGUACCAGACAACAGGCCAUGCCUUCCACCCCGCACCACUCCGCUUCCUCGACAGCUCCACCACGAUGACGAACAGCGCCGCCAUGGCGCAGUCCUUCUCCGCGUCCUUCGUGUUCGCCAUUAGGUCAAGAUACGAUGGCCUGACCAGCUACGGGCUUGCCUUCGUCGUCGCGCCGACCUCGAACCUCUCAGCUGCCGAGAGCGGGCGCAACCACAUCGGCAUCGGCGUCAACAGUCUCAUCUCACGGCAGGCCAAGCAGGCUGGGUACUACAGCGACGAGAACGGCGCCUUCCAAGAUCUGAGGCUGAACGGCGCCUUCCAAGAUCACGGUGUGGGUAGACUAUGA
rnacentral:rRNA from 1 species